rnacentral:rRNA from 1 species
UAGGGAAUCUUCCACAAUGGGCGCAAGCCUGAUGGAGCAACACCGCGUGAGUGAAGAAGGGUUUCGGCUCGUAAAGCUCUGUUGUUAGAGAAGAACGUGCGUGAGAGCAACUGUUCACGCAGUGACGGUAUCUAACCAGAAAGUCACGGCUAACUACGUGCUAG